AUACCCGAUAGAUCUCGGCUGCUGGAAUGCAUCGAGCUCUAAAGCUCCGGCGCCUGAGGAUGGGUCUGCGGCCUAUCAGGUAGUAGUGGGUGUAGCGUACCUACUAGCCUACGACGGGUACGGGUUGUGAGAGCAAGAGCCCGGAGAUGGAUUCUGAGACACGAAUCCAGGCCCUACGGGGUGCAGCAGGCGCGAAAACUUUACAAUGCCGGCAACGGCGAUAAGGGGACCUCGAGUGCCAGGUUACAAAUCUGGCUGUCGUGAUGCCUAAAAAGCAUUGCAUAGCAAGGGCCGGGCAAGACCGGUGCCAGCCGCCGCGGUAACACCGGCGGCUCGAGUGGUAACCGUUAUUAUUGGGUCUAAAGGGUCUGUAGCCGGCCGGAUAAGUCUCUUGGGAAAUCCAGCAGCUUAACUGUUGGGCUUUCAGGAGAUACUGUCUGGCUCGAGGCCGGGAGAGGUGAGAGGUACUUCAGGGGUAGGGGUGAAAUCUUGUAAUCCUUGAAGGACCACCAGUGGCGAAGGCGUCUCACCAGAACGGACCUGACGGCAAGGGACGAAAGCUAGGGGCACGAACCGGAUUAGAUACCCGGGUAGUCCUAGCCGUAAACGAUACUCGCUAGGUGUCGGCCACGGCGCGACCGUUGUCGGUGCCGUAGGGAAGCUGUGAAGCGAGCCACCUGGGAAGUACGGCCGCAAGGCUGAAACUUAAAGGAAUUGGCGGGGGA
rnacentral:rRNA from 1 species